UUGGAGGUCUUGCUGGCUGCAAAGUCAGCUCCUCUUAAAUGCAUUAGCGGUACAAGCAGAAUCGGCUUCGGUUUGAUAGAAAUAUCUAUGCUGUCGCUGAGGAACAAUAUGUGCAGCUUCCAAUUGUCUUCGGACUGUCUUUCACAAGGCAUAUAUUGACUCUUGACCUCAAAUCAGGUAGGACUACCCGCUGAACUUAA
rnacentral:misc_RNA from 1 species